rnacentral:rRNA from 1 species
AAAGCGAAUAGUGAAAUAUGAUGGCUCAACCAUCAGAACAUUAUUCGAACUCACAGACUCGAAAAUGGUAGAGGUAGCUGGAAUUUCUAGUGUAGGGGUAAUAUCCGUAGAUAUUAGAAGGAACACCAAUGGCGUAGGCAGGUUACUGGACCAUUUCUGACACUGAGGCACGAAAGCGUGGGGAGCGAACGGGAUUAGAUACCCCGGUAGUCCACGCCGUAAACGAUGGAUACUA